rnacentral:rRNA from 1 species
UACGUAGGGUGCGAGCGUUGUCCGGAAUUAUUGGGCGUAAAGGGCUCGUAGGCGGUUUGUCGCGUCGGGAGUGAAAACCGAGGGCUUAACCCUGGGCUGGCUUUCGAUACGGGCAGACUAGAGGUAUGCAGGGGAGAACGGAAUUCCUGGUGUAGCGGUGAAAUGCGCAGAUAUCAGGAGGAACACCGGUGGCGAAGGCGGUUCUCUGGGCAUUACCUGACGCUGAGGAGCGAAAGUGUGGGGAGCGAACAGG